AGUUAACCUAACCUAUGGAUGGGGAUAACCUCGGGAAACUGAGAAUAAUCCCCGAUAGACCACAAUGCCUGGAAUGGUUUGUGGUUGAAAUGAUUUAUCGCCGUAGGAUGGGACUGCGGCCUAUCAGCUAGUUGGUGAGGUAAUGGCCCACCAAGGCUAUAACAGGUACGGGCUCUGAGAGGAGGGGCCCGGAGAUGGGUACUGAGACACGGACCCAGGCCCUAUGGGGCGCAGCAGGCGAGAAACCUUUGCAAUGUGCGAAAGCACGACAAGGUUAAUCCGAGUGUCUUCUGCUAAAGAAGUCUUUUGUUAGUCAUAGAACCACUGAUGAAUAAGGGGUGGGCAAGUUCUGGUGUCAGCCGCCGCGGUAAAACCAGCACCUCGAGUGGUCAGGAGGUUUAUUGGGCCUAAAGCAUCCGUAGCCGGUUGUUUAAGUUUUCGGUUAAAUCUAUGCGCUUAACGUAUAGGCUGCCGAAAAUACUGGACAGCUAGGGAGUGGGAGAGGUACACGGUACUCAAUAGGAAGGGGUAAAAUCCUUUGAUCUGUUGAUGACCACCUGUGGCGAAGGCGGUGUACCAGAACACGUUCGACGGUGAGGGAUGAAAGCUGGGGGAGCAAACCGGAUUAGAUACCCGGGUAGUCCCAGCUGUAAACGAUGCAAACUCGGUGAUGCAUUGGCUUGUGGCCAAUGCAGUGCCGCAGGGAAGCCGUUAAGUUUGCCGCCUGGGAAGUACGUACGCAAGUAU
rnacentral:rRNA from 1 species